rnacentral:rRNA from 1 species
GACGAACGCUGGCGGCGCGCCUAACACAUGCAAGUCGAACGAGAGAUGAAGAGCUUGCUCUUCAGAUCGAGUGGCGAACGGGUGAGUAACGCGUGAGGAACCUGCCUCAAAGAGGGGGACAACAGUUGGAAACGACUGCUAAUACCGCAUAAGCCCACGGCUCGGCAUCGAGCAGAGGGAAAAGGAGCAAUCCGCUUUGAGAUGGCCUCGCGUCCGAUUAGCUAGUUGGUGAGGUAACGGCCCACCAAGGCGACGAUCAGUAGCCGGUCUGAGAGGAUGAACGGCCACAUUGGGACUGAGAUACGGCCCAGACUCCUACGGGAGGCAGCAGUGGGGAAUAUUGGGCAAUGGGGGAAACCCUGACCCAGCAACGCCGCGUGAAGGAAGAAGGCCU